rnacentral:rRNA from 1 species
AUACGUAGGGGGCGAGCGUUGUCCGGAAUGAUUGGGCGUAAAGGGCGCGAAGGCGGCCCGGUAAGUCUGGAGUGAAAGUCCUGUUUUUAAGAUGGGAAUUGCUUUGGAUACUGUCGGGCUUGAGUGCAGGAGAGGUAAGUGGAAUUCCCAGUGUAGCGGUGAAAUGCGUAGAGAUUGGGAGGAACACCAGUGGCGAAGGCGACUUACUGGACUGUAACUGACGCUGAGGCGCGAAAGUGUGGGGAGCAAACAGGAUUAGAUACCCUGGUAGUCCACACUGUAAACGAUGAAUGCUAGGUGUAGGGGGUAUCGACCCCUUCUGUGCCGCAGUCAACACAAUAAGCAUUCCGCCUGGGGAGUACGGCCGCAAGGUUGAAACUCAAAUGAAUUGACGGGG